GCUUAACCGGAGAAGUGCAUCGGAAACUGGAUAACUUGAGUGCAGAAGAGGGUAGUGGAACUCCAUGUGUAGCGGUGGAAUGCGUAGAUAUAUGGAAGAACACCAGUGGCGAAGGCGGCUACCUGGUCUGCAACUGACGCUGAGACUCGAAAGCAUGGGUAGCGAACAGGAUUAGAUACCCUGGUAGUCCAUGCCGUAAACGAUGAGUGCUAGGUGUUGGAGGGUUUCCGCCCUUCAGUGCCGGAGCUAACGCAUUAAGCACUCCGCCUGGGGAGUACGACCGCAAGGUUGAAACUCAGAGGAAUUGACGGGGGCCCGCACAAGCGGUGGAGCAUGUGGUUUAAUUCGAAGCUACGCGAAGAACCUUACCAGGUCUUGACAUCUUGCGCCAACCCUAGAGAUAGGGCGUUUCCUUCGGGAACGCAAUGACAGGUGGUGCAUGGUCGUCGUCAGCUCGUGUCGUGAGAUGUUGGGUUAAGUCCCGCAACGAGCGCAACCCUUGUUACUAGUUGCCAGCAUUAAGUUGGGCACUCUAGUGAGACUGCCGGUGACAAACCGGAGGAAGGUGGGGACGACGUCAGAUCAUCAUGCCCCCUAUGACCUGGGCUACACACGUGCUACAAUGGACGGUACAACG
rnacentral:rRNA from 1 species